AAGUUAUAGUAGGUGAAAAAGCAGGCAGCAUGUGGCUGGGGGAGGAGCAGGAAGGCUGAGGAGGACAGAGGCAAGAUCCAGGGGCUGAGGAGGUCUUUGUACAGAGUCUGGAUCCAUUACUGCAGAGAAGGCAGUGAAGGCUGGAUUUGGACAUGAGAAGCAACAACAUGGUAACUGAUACAACUAUUACUUAUUAAAUUUAGUAAUUUAGACAU